rnacentral:rRNA from 1 species
UCAAGCGAAUAAGGGCUUAAGUUGGAUACCUUGGCAUUCAGAAGCGAUGAAGGGCGUGUCUACCGACGAAACGCUUCGGGGAGCUGGAAGUAAGCAUUGAUCCGGAGAUACCCGAAUGAGAAAACUCUUAAAACUACAUGUUUAAUCUAUAGACAUGAAAGAGCUAACCUGGUGAAUUGAAACAUCUCAGUAACCAGAGGAAAAGAAAGCAAAAGCGAUUCCCAUAGUAGCGGCGAGCGAAAAGGGACCAGCCUAAACUACUUAAAUAAAGUAGGGUCGUGGGACAGCAAAACAAGAUUAGAAAAAGUUAGGUGAAUCAUUUGGAAUAAUGAAUCGUAGAAGGUGAAAAUCCUGUAACUAAAAACUUUAACUACUUAGCUGUAUCCCGAGUAGCAUGGGACACGUGAAACCCCGUGUGAAUCUGCGAGGACCACCUCGUAAGGCUAAAUAUUCCUGAAUGACCGAUAGCGAAAUAGUACCGCGAGGGAAAGGUGAAAAGAACCCCGGAAGGGGAGUGAAAUAGAACAUGAAAGCUUAAGCUUACAAGCAGUGGGAGAACGACUAAACGUUUGACCUCGUGCCUGUUGAAGAAUGCGCCGGCGACUUGUAGGUAGUGGCAGGUUAAGGUAAGAAAUACUGGAGCCAGAGUGAAAGCGAGCCUAAACAGGGCGUUAGUCACUAUUUACAGACCCGAACCCGGAUGAUCUAACCAUGGCCAGUGUGAAGCUUAGGUAACACUAAGUGGAGGCGCGAACCGACUGAUGUUGAAAAAUCAGCGGAUGAGUUGUGGUUAGGGGUGAAAUGCCAAUCGAAUCCGGAGCUAGCUGGUUCUCCCCGAAAUGCGUUUAGGCGCAGCGGUUAACGCUAUAGCUUAGGGGUAAAGCACUGUUUCGGUGCGGGCUGCUAACGCGGUACCAAAUCGAGGCAAACUCUGAAUACUAAGUGUGUAGUUAACCAGUAAGACUGUGGGGGAUAAGCUCCAUUGUCAAGAGGGAAACAGCCCAGACCACCAGCUAAGGCCCCCAAAUGAUUACUAAGUGAUAAAGGAUGUGGGAAUGCUGAGACAAUCAGGAGGUUCGCCUAGAAGCAGCUAUCCUUUAAAGAGUGCGUAAUAGCUCACUGAUCAAGCGCACCUGCGCCGAAAAUGAACGGGGCUAAGUAAUCUGCCGAAGCUGUGGGAUUUUUUAUAAUCGGUAGGGGAGCGUUCCACCUUAGAUAGAAGCAUUAGCGCAAGCGGAUGUGGACGAAGUGGAAGUGAGAAUGUCGGCUUGAGUAGCGAAAACAUUGGUGAGAAUCCAAUGCCCCGAAAACCUAAGGUUUCCUCCGGAAGGCUCGUCCGCGGAGGGUGAGUCAGGACCUAAGGUGAGGCCGAAAGGCGUAACUAAUGGACAACGGGUUAAUAUUCCCGUACCAUCUAUUGUUGGUACCGAGGGACGGAGAAGGCUAAACCAUCCGGAUGUUGGUUACCGGUUUAAGCGUUAAAGGUGAUGAGAGACGGCGAAAACGUCUUGAGCUAAGGCGCGAAUACGAAGUACUAAGGUACUGAAGUGGUUGAUGUCAUACUUCCAAGAAAAGCUCGAAAUACCUUAAACAAUAGAUGCCUGUACCCGAAACCGACACAGGUAGGUAGGUAGAGUAUACCAAGGGGCGCGAGAUAACUCUCUCUAAGGAACUCGGCAAAAUUACCUCGUAACUUCGGGAGAAGAGGUACCCUCGUGAGAGGGUUGCAAUAAAAAGACCCUGGCGACUGUUUACCAAAAACACAGGUCUCCGCUAAUUCGUAAGAUUAAGUAUGGGGGCUGACGCCUGCCCAGUGCCGGAAGGUUAAAGAAGUUGGUCAAUCUUUGAUGAAGCUAGCGACUGAAGCCCCGGUGAACGGCGGCCGUAACAAUAACGGUCCUAAGGUAGCGAAAUUCCUUGUCGGGUAAGUUCCGACCUGCACGAAUGGUGUAACGAUCUGGGCGCUGUCUCAGCCGUGAGCUCGGUGAAAUUGUAGUCUCGGUGAAGAUGCCGAGUACCCGCCACGGGACGGAAAGACCCCGUGCACCUUUACUAUAGGUUGCCAUUGGUGUUGGGUUCGGCAUGUGUAGCAUAGGCGGGAGGCGCUGAGCCGGGGACGCUAGUUCUCGGGGAGCCGACGUUGAAAUACCGCCCUUGCCGUGCCUGAUGCCUAACUCUGCCUUGCAGAGAACAGUGGCUGCUGGGUAGUUUGACUGGGGUGGUCGCCUCCAAAAGAGUAUCGGAGGCUUUCAAAGGUCCGCUCAGUCCGCUUGGUAACCGGACGCAGAGCGCAAUAGCAGAAGCGGGCUUGACUGUGAGGCCGACUAGCCGAGCAGGGUCGAAAGACGGAUAUAGUGAUCCGGUGGUUCCGCAUGGAAGGGCCAUCGCUCAAAGGAUAAAAGGUACGCCGGGGAUAACAGGCUGAUCUCCCCC